CUUACCAAGGGGCGCUGCAGCUGGCGCCUGUCCAGACCCCGGUCCGGCAGGUUGUUCGGUCAGGCUUGGGGACUCCAACUGCGCUCACUUGUU
rnacentral:ncRNA from 1 species